rnacentral:piRNA from 1 species
UCAUGCAGUACCAGCUUGACCUUUGGAU